rnacentral:rRNA from 1 species
UACGUAGGGUGCGAGCGUUGUCCGGAAUUAUUGGGCGUAAAGAGCUCGUAGGCGGUCUGUCGCGUCGGUCGUGAAAACUUGGGGCUUAACCCUGGGCUGGCUUCCGAUACGGGCAGACUAGAGGUAUGCAGGGGAGAACGGAAUUCCUGGUGUAGCGGUGAAAUGCGCAGAUAUCAGGAGGAACACCGGUGGCGAAGGCGGCCAUCUGGAUCAACACUGACGCUGAGGCACGAAAGCGUGGGGAGCAAACAGG